CUUCAGUGCAUCCAGGAACCUCGUGGAUUGCUUAUGCCCUCUGCAUUGUACCUCCAGCAGAUGUCCAGGUGGUUGGAGUACCCCAGGAGGACCAGGGCUGGUGAAGGUUUGUUUGGCUCGUCAACUUUCUGGAACAGGGCUGUCCUCUCAUUUAAACUGGAAAAUGCUUUCUCAGAGAUACCAAUGAAGAAGAUUUUGGUUGUAUGUUUGUUUCCUCCUGUGAAGACUGCUGCAGGAGAUACAUGCCAUUAGGUGUGCUUAGUCUGGGGGAAGUAUUUCUUGUUGCUGUGGCUGUCCCAGCUCGAGGGGAGCUGGAGAAAACAUGGCAGUGCUUUGAACUUCUUCACAUGCUAGAGCUGAUUCAGCCUUUCAAGUGUUCCUUGAAGCUUCCGUGAGACUGAGCUGAUUAAGGAUCAACUGGGCAGUUCCAUGUCAGAAGUCUACUGAUGUUGCCUGGUCCUAGGAAAUUAAUCCUAUGUUCAGACUCACCAGCUCUGCUUAAAAAAUAUUUUAUAAUUUUUGUGGAUUGUGAUCUGUUUUGUUGGGCAUCUCAAGUAAAUCUAGGGUGAUGGCUGGGCAAUAUAAUUUAGAUUUAUGUAAAAAAGAUGUUUUGAGGACUCUUCUGAGUGAAGUGGCAAUGCCAAUGU